GCAGUAGCCACGGGAAUACAGAGGGUGCGAGCGUUAAUCGGAUUUACUGGGCGUAAAGCGUGCGUAGGCGGCUUUUUAAGUCGGAUGUGAAAUCCCUGAGCUUAACUUAGGAAUUGCAUUCGAUACUGGGAAGCUAGAGUAUGGGAGAGGAUGGUAGAAUUCCAGGUGUAGCGGUGAAAUGCGUAGAGAUCUGGAGGAAUACCGAUGGCGAAGGCAGCCAUCUGGCCUAAUACUGACGCUGAGGUACGAAAGCAUGGGGAGCAAACAGGAUUAGAUACCCCUGUAGUCCCUGUCUCUUAUAC
rnacentral:rRNA from 1 species